rnacentral:rRNA from 1 species
GGAGGAUCCAAGCGUUAUCCGGAAUCAUUGGGUUUAAAGGGUCCGUAGGCGGUUUAGUAAGUCAGUGGUGAAAGCCCAUCGCUCAACGGUGGAACGGCCAUUGAUACUGCUAGACUUGAAUUAUUAGGAAGUAACUAGAAUAUGUAGUGUAGCGGUGAAAUGCUUAGAGAUUACAUGGAAUACCAAUUGCGAAGGCAGGUUACUACUAAUGGAUUGACGCUGAUGGACGAAAGCGUGGGUAGCGAACAGGAUUAGAUACCCUGGUAGUCCACGCCGUAAACGAUGGAUACUAGCUGUUGGGAGCGAUCUCAGUGGCUAAGCGAAAGUGAUAAGUAUCCCACCCGGGGAGUACGUUCGCAAGAAUG